CCUACGGGAGGCAGCAGUGGGGAAUAUUGGGCAAUGGGCGAAAGCCUGACCCAGCAACGCCGCGUGCAGGAAGAAGGCUCUCUGGUUGUAAACUUCUUUUGACAGGGAAGAGCAGAAGACGGUACCUGUCGAAUAAGCCACGGCUAACUACGUGCCAGCAGCCGCCGUAAUACGUAGGUGGCAAGCGUUGUCCGGAUUUACUGGGUGUAAGGGGCGUGUAGCCGGGCUGACAAGUCAGCUGUGAAAUCCGGGGGCUCAACCCCCGAACUGCAUUUGAAACUGUUGGUCUUGAGUAUCGGAGAGGCAGGCGGAAUUCCUAGUGUAGCGGUGAAAUGCGUAGAUAUUAGGAGGAACACCAGUUGCGAAGGCGGCCUGCUGGACGACAACUGACGGUGAGGCGCGAAAGCGUGGGGAGCAAACAGGAUUAGAUACCCUAGUAGUC
rnacentral:rRNA from 1 species